rnacentral:rRNA from 1 species
UUAUUGGGCGUAUAGGGCUCGCAGGCGGUUUCUUAAGUCUGAUGUGAAAGCCCCCGGCUCAACCGGGGAGGGUCAUUGGAAACUGGGGAACUUGAGUGCAGAAGAGGAGAGUGGAAUUCCACGUGUAGCGGUGAAAUGCGUAGAGAUGUGGAGGAACACCAGUGGCGAAGGCGACUCUCUGGUCUGUAACUGACGCUGAGGAGCGAAAGCGUGGGGAGCGAACAGGAUUAGAUACCCUGGUAGUCCACGCCGUAAACGAUGAGUGCUAAGUGUUAGGGGGUUUCCGCCCCUUAGUGCUGCAGCUAACGCAUUAAGCACUCCGCCUGGGGAGUACGGUCGCAAGACUGAAACUCAAAGGAAUUGACGGGGGCCCGCACAAGCGGUGGAGCAUGUGGUUUAAUUCGAAGCAACGCGAAGAACCUUACCAGGUCUUGACAUCCUCUGACAAUCCUAGAGAUAGGACGUCCCCUUCGGGGGCAGAGUGACAGGUGGUGCAUGGUUGUCGUCAGCUCGUGUCGUGAGAUGUUGGGUUAAGUCCCGCAACGAGCGCAACCCUUGAUCUUAGUUGCCAGCAUUCAGUUGGGCACUCUAAGGUGACUGCCGGUGACAAACCGGAGGAAGGUGGGGAUGACGUCAAAUCAUCAUGCCCCUUAUGACCUGGGCUACACACGUGCUACAAUGGACAGAACAAAGGGCAGCGAAACCGCGAGGUUAAGCCAAUCCCACAAAUCUGUUCUCAGUUCGGAUCGCAGUCUGCAACUCGACUGCGUGAAGCUGGAAUCGCUAGUAAUCGCGGAU